ACUCUAUAAAGAAAAAAGGUGAGGAAAAGUAAUAAAGAAAAAAAAAAUCAUUCUACAUAAACCAGCUGGAACCACUCUCUCUCAAACACACACACUUGUAUUACUCGUCUUACUCAUGAGCACAUGCAUUGCGGUGUGGGGACAGCCUGGCAGGGCGGUGAUUGUGGAGAAGUGAAGCUCCAUUACGCAAAGAAUAUGUUAAGCCCAAGGAUUCUGGUGGCUUAACCAAGGUGUUUGGGCAGUGAGAAAGAAAGGGAAAAUGAGGGAAAUUCUUUUAUUCCUCUCUACAAUGACUCAAGUACCGAAGAAGAAACUUGAAUUCUCGUAUUCCUCUCUACAAUGACUCAAGUACCGAAGAAGAAACUUGAAUUCUCG
rnacentral:misc_RNA from 1 species